AAAACGACUCUCGGCAACGGAUAUCUCGGCUCUCGCAUCGAUGAAGAACGUAGCGAACUGCGAUACUUGGKGUGAAUUGCAGAAUCCCGUGAACCAUCGAGUCUUUGAACGCAAGUUGCGCCCGAAGCCAUUAGGCCGAGGGCACGUCUGCCUGGGCGUCACGC
rnacentral:rRNA from 1 species